rnacentral:rRNA from 1 species
UACAGAGGGGGCAAGCGUUAUUCGGAAUUAUUGGGCGUAAAGGGCGCGUAGGCGGCCUGACAAGUGGAAGGUGAAAUCCCUCGGCUUAACCGAGGAACUGCCCUCCAAACUGUUUGGCUUGAGACCGGGAGAGGUGAGUGGAAUUCCCAGUGUAGCGGUGAAAUGCGUAGAUAUUGGGAGGAACACCAGUGGCGAAGGCGGCUCACUGGACCGGUACUGACGCUGAGGUGCGAAAGCGUGGGGAGCAAACAGG